rnacentral:lncRNA from 1 species
AGAUUCCUGGCAGGAGUAUCAUGCUCAUCAUAGUUACGAAUGCCUUUUCAAUGCUUAUGAUUUUCACAAAGCUUAAUUAUCUUUGAUUGUAUCUUUAUUAUGUUGUUCAUGUAGGGAACUUUUGAAGAAUAAUUUGAGUUGCCGAUGCAUUAUCCGUCCAAUUCAAUGACUUAAGGAAAAUCUGAAGGUUAAUUAGUGUUGUUCACGGUUAAUCUGGGGUGUUGAGAUUCAUGGUUUAUUGGAAAAGCAACUGGAAAUCGAUUUGUGUGCAAGUCUGUCAUGUGUGGAGAAGAACCCUGUAGCUAGCCAAUCACCCAUCCAUUUAUCCCAAAUUCGUGCUAAAUUUGUCUUAAGUCUUUAAUUACUUGUUUUUACUUAAAAUUAGUCCAAAACCCAAUCCCCUUUACUUUAGUGUGUCAAAUUAGUUAGAAUAUGUCUCGGUUUGUGUUUUUAAGUGUUUUGAGUUAAGCUAAAAUCAAUUUUUGUCCAAAGUCAUUCCUAGUGUCUAUUUGAAGUCUAU